GUUGAGGUGUAGCCCAUCUUCCAGUGCUGCUUGGAGGCUUUUCAGUCCACCAGUUUGUAGAAUAUCUACGUUGACUGGUAGGAGAUAGAUGGUCCUUGAAGAUUUUGUAUUUCGGCUGCAGUAUGGAGAAGAGCACUCAGCUUUUUCGAGUGCUCUUUGUCGAGAUAAUGACAGAAUGAUCCACUGUCACAGAAUGCAGAGCAAAGGCACUGGCAAAAGGAAUCAAAGGCACAGGUUUAUGUCUGCAUGCAACCACUCAGAGCAAAGGGUCAGGUAGGACAGUCGCUUUUUUGGAGGAACACCGAGGCCUUUCCAGUUUUCAACAGG